GUUGUUUGUCACUGUGCUGACGUUUGUGUGCUCUUAUUAAUCUCUGAUUUCAACAGACGUAAGUGGGGAUGCCGUCGUAUUUUUUUCUUUUUUUUGUGUGUCACAGGCUGAGCUGCCGGAACAUUGGCUUAUUGGUCGUGGUUGAAUAAUUCAUUUGAACCGCAGGAUUGCUGCCUGGCCAUGUGGUCCGUGUCAAUGACUGUCUGAGGGCGCGCGGGAACGGUACCACGACGGUGCGGGGGGGGAACGAUCCGCGCUCUCUCCGCUAACUCUCCUUCAUCAGCAGAAAUGCUAAACUACCCAGCGCAUCCUCCGCUGAUGAAUUCAUCUCAACCGUUUGUCAUGAGGCUGCGUGUUUUGGAAUUCCUCAUCUCAAACAGCGACGGCUCGGGCAGUUUGCGCCAGCUGCUUGACAGCAGCAUGUAUCCAAAGGUCUUCUUUGCACGGGGAAAGUUCCUGACAAGGGCGGUUUUGAAAAGGGACGGAGAUGUGAUCUCGGAUCCACGAUUCCAACCGGAAAGCAGCUCAAAUUCACAGGAAGCCCUGUGAUACAGAGACGUCUCCGAGGCGCGGUCGAUGUCGGAAUCUUCACCGAUGAACCGGUUUGGAAAGUUGUUUAAUAUUGAUAGUGUUUUCUUUGCAGAUUUUGAAUUUGUCAUCAAUACGUACUGGAGGAUGCAUUCACCUUCACACUGCUGCAGGCACCUCGUCCCAAAGUCAACACUUUGUCACUCGUCAAAUGGCAGACGUGUGAUCAAGAGGUUUAUUAAACUUCAUGUUUAAAAAAACAAAACAAAUUAUUACUAGAGAGAAUUUGCAUGUGUCGUAAAACGUGUGGUACCUUUUACACUGUCAGGCAGUUCAAUAAUGUGAUGUACUUCACCUCCUCAUUCAUUGGAAACUUCAAAGGUAUUAAAAUAAUAAUAGUAUACUUAGAUUGUAUCGAUGUACCAUAUGAGCAAAGGUACUUUUACAAACGGAACAAAAAUGCCCCCAAACCAUUUUGACUUACAGUAAUUGAGACGUGUCCGAAGUGCUCACUUAAACACACGGAACAUGCUCGCCUGCCACUUUGAUCACAGAGUUCAUGUAGCUGAACAAAUAUGCAAAUUCUUGAGUGCUGGUGCAUCGACAAGUCAAGCGUUAGUAAUACAAUGUUGUGUCUAGACACAGCAUUUUGGGGAGCGGAGGGGGGGGGGGUCCCUUUAUUUUAUUAGGGGGUUUGGUUAGUCGGACGUUCAAUAAUUUAUAGCUUUUUUUCCACCCAUUUCCCCCGUCUGGUAUGUCCUUUUUUCACAGCGCGGCAAAAACAAGCGGCGGUGAAAGACUCGCUUGUGUCUUACCUUCAGCUUUUAUUGUGAAAACCUCCUCGCUGUUAAGCGCACACUGCUGUCAUUGUUUGUAGAUGGUGGAAAAGAGUUUCCUUUGAGUCUGACGCUCGCGUCUGGCCUCGUCCCUCUGACCCCUCUUUGACGGGAAGGCCAUUUUCUUUCUCUCUGCAUGUGUGGGGAUUUUUUCAUUGUUAUUUCUUCUGUGCCCACGUGGUGGUGGUGGUCCGUGCGUGCUCGCUGGGGCUUUAGAUUACGUCGUUGCAGACAUUAACACUCUGGUGUUUGACGGCCUCUCGCUCUGCAAAACUCUAAUGUGGAGCACACUCCCACCAUCGCCACGAUCGUGUACCUCGCCAUGGUUCCAUACGUAUUUGGAGGAGGCGGGAGGAUUGCUGUGUAUUUAUCCUCCUCACACCCGCAGAGACUUUCUUUUCUUUUUUUUUUUUUUUUUUUAGUGUGGGGGCGGCGUCUCCCCGAGCUCACCCGGCAGUUCCAGUUACUUCCAGAAACAGCCCUUCCAGUGAGUCAGUGGGUCAGGGGGGAUUAACCCAGCAGCCUGUCAUGCCGCAGCUUCCAAUUACUUGGCCUUCCAUCCGCCCAACCUUCCUCUGGCGAAAGCUUUGUUUUACCAGCAGCACUCCCUGAAAUGUAUCUCGGCUACACCGAACCCGUCAGCGGAAGGGCUUUUAGGAGGCUCGCUUUGCCCUUCCUCUUUUGUUUUCUCGCCUCCUCCCUCUGCCUCCUUCCCCCGAAUCCUCUCCUCUGCCUACACUGCCUGUGUGUCGGCUCUCUGUUCUAAUGCGAGGCGGGGAUCAACCAGGCAGACCCCUGGAGUUUGACAGAGCUACCUGUUGUGCCGCCACGUUCCUUCCUCCGUAGCUCGCUCGCUAUCUUCUUCUCUCUCCCGCCUUCCCUCCCUCCCUCCCUCCCUAAGCACCAGAGCUGUCGACUCCUGGCAGUUUGAUUCUAAACUGUUCCCCAGUGUCGGGAGUAGCUGCCAUGACGGAGAGUAAAGCAAGUGAAAUAUUGAGUUUGUAGUGAACAAUUCCUCACUACGUGGUGUGCGGAAGGCCAGAAUGUUCCUGUUUCUUUAUCCCGUCUAGAAGGGUUUCUUCGUGGAUUCUUUUGUGAAGGAAAUAGUUAAACAUUUUGGCAAAACCCACUGAUUUGCUUUCCUUUCCCAGACAAAGUUCUACGAAUAUAUCAAGGCUCUGCAGCCAGGACUUGAUCGACCUUGUGAAGCCUAAAGGAAAUGGGAGCGGGUGGGAAGUGGUAUCAAAACCAGGCUUGAUUGCGGAAUGAACGGCAACCAUUGAGCAAGUUGGCUGCAAACAAAUCUUUGGUGUUGUGUAAAAGUUGUCCUCAACUAGCAUGUGAUGCAAACGAGCUGUGGGGUUCAUAUCUCCUCCUGUGGCCUCAGCAGACCCCUCUGCAUAACUGUGUCACACACACACACACACACACACAUACGUUUUAAGGCAUCCAGGUAUA